rnacentral:rRNA from 1 species
CGCGUGGGAAUCUACCUGGAACUACGGAACAACUGAGGGAAACUUCAGCUAAUACCGUAUACGCCCUAUGGGGGAAAGAUUUAUCGGUUUCAGAUGAGCCCGCGUAAGAUUAGCUAGUUGGUGGGGUAAUGGCCUACCAAGGCGACGAUCUUUAGCUGGUCUGAGAGGAUGAUCAGCCACACUGGGACUGAGACACGGCCCAGACUCCUACGGGAGGCAGCAGUGGGGAAUAUUGGACAAUGGGCGCAAGCCUGAUCCAGCCAUGCCGCGUGAGUGAUGAAGGCCUUAGGGUUGUAAAGC